AGAGUUUGAUCAUGGCUCAGAACGAACGCUGGCGGCAUGCCUAACACAUGCAAGUCGAACGGGAUCCGGGACUUCGGUUCGGUGAGAGUGGCGGACGGGUGAGUAACGCGUGGGAACCUGCCCAGUGGUGGGGGAUAACUGCGGGAAACUGCAGCUAAUACCGCAUGAGCCCGAGAGGGGAAAGAUUUAUCGCCAUUGGAGGGGCCCGCGUUCGAUUAGGUAGUUGGUGAGGUAACGGCUCACCAAGCCGACGAUCGAUAGCUGGUCUGAGAGGAUGAUCAGCCACACUGGGACUGAGAUACGGCCCAGACUCCUACGGGAGGCAGCAGUGGGGAAUAUUGGACAAUGGGGGCAACCCUGAUCCAGCAAUGCCGCGUGAGUGAUGAAGGCCUUCGGGUUGUAAAGCUCUUUUGCCAGGGACGAUGAUGACGGUACCUGGAGAAUAAGCCCCGGCUAACUUCGUG
rnacentral:rRNA from 1 species